AACCUUAUCAACUAAGAAAGAAAAAUAAAAAGGUUCUGAUGCUGAGUUUAUAGUCAAAUUGGUCUUGAGUUUCUAAUGCAGCCCUAAGAAGAAGAAAUGUUGAGAAAGUGCAGUAAUGUAAUACACUAAUUAUUUAAGCUGACCCCUCCACUUUCAGCUAUUUGCAAUUUGUAAUGUGUGGGACUGAGAGCGCUUGAAUAACAUACUUCAAAGCUGCUGGGGAAGGAAGAAGCCAGGACAAGAACAAGGACUCUGUGUAGCCCAGGCUGUCCUAGAACUCAUGACCCUACCACCACAGCUUCCCAACUACAGGAGAUACUGGGAUGUUUGACUGCUCAGCAUCAGUUCCAUAUGCCUUAUAGAAUAUAAUCUUCCUGUGGCAAACGGGUGCCAAUCUUUUAUUUGUAGAGGUGAUCUGGAAGAGAAGAAGUGCUUAAUCCUCUAUUUCUUGGGGCACAACCCUAUAACCAGAGUGGCAUUAAGAGAAAAGACCACCUUGGAAGUUCCUGAGGUUGUGAGUAGAUUAUCCUAAGACUUCAAAAAUGGGCUAACAGUUAUUUCUCACAG